CCUACGGGAGGCAGCAGUGAGGAAUAUUGGUCAAUGGGCGCUAGCCUGAACCAGCCAAGCCGCGUGAAGGAUGACUGCUCUCUGGGUUGUAAACUUCUUUUAUAUGGGAAUAAAGUGUAGUAUGUAUACUGCUUUGAAUGUACCUUAUGAAUAAGGAUCGGCUAACUCCGUGCCAGCAGCCGCGGUAAUACGGAGGAUCCGAGCGUUAUCCGGAUUUAUUGGGUUUAAAGGGAGCGUAGGCGGGUUGUUAAGUCAGUUGUGAAAGUUUCGGGCUCAACCCUGAAAUUGCAGUUGAUACUGGCAUUCUUGAGUGCAGGAGAGGUAGGCGGAAUGCGUGGUGUAGCGGUGAAAUGCUUAGAUAUCACGAAGAACACCGAUUGCGAAGGCAGCUUGCUGGACUGUAACUGACGCUGAUGCUCGAAAGUGUGGGGAUCAAACAGGAUUAGAUACCCGGGUAGUC
rnacentral:rRNA from 1 species